GAUCAUGGCUCAGGAUGAACGCUAGCGGCAGGCCUAACACAUGCAAGUCGAGGGGCAGCGGGAUUGAAGCUUGCUUCAGUUGCCGGCGACCGGCGCACGGGUGCGUAACGCGUAUGCAACCUACCCAUAACAGGGGGAUAACACUGAGAAAUCGGUACUAAUAUCCCAUAACAUCAAGAGGGGCAUCCCUUAUGGUUGAAAACUCCGGUGGUUAUGGAUGGGCAUGCGUUGUAUUAG
rnacentral:rRNA from 1 species